AUGAAACUUGAACUUGAUAUGUUUUUCAGUUUUUGUAUUUUAUUUUUAUAUUUUUUUACUUAGUUUAAUUAUUGACACAUUUUAAAUUCUUUUUAACUAUGGAUGAUAUUGGUUGCAUUGUUCAAGCUGAAAAACAGUGAAAGCAGAUUUUGGAUCAGUUAUGGAUGGUACACCAACAGAAUCAGCAAUAUUAGAAUAAGUCUUGUUUAUUUGCAUUGUGUGGUUCCUCACCAGUUUCCGAGGCUCAGGUUGUUGUUGUCCUGUUUUGGUAGCUGUUGUAGGGAGCUGCAGGUGUUGGAUGGUGUGUUGAUCUUCCCCAAUGUAGCUCUGCAGCUAUGGAGUUGUUGUUGUUAGAUGUUGUUGUUGUAGGUUGUUGAAUGUUGCAUCUUGCACUUAUGAAAGCUCAACUGCAACAGCUUUGGUGGUGUUGCAGGGAUGAAAGUCUAAGUUACUGAAGAAAAAGAAUUGAGUGGUGCUGCAGGUCUAAAGUGUGAAGUUCCUUGAAGAACUCCAGGAUGUUGUAUGUUGUUGAGUGUUGUUGUUUGUUUCUGUUGUUGUGUGUUGCUCUUUGCUGCAGCCUGCAUGUCUGCACUUUGGUGCAAUUGUGACUAUGCUUGGAUAAUGCAUUAGCAGUGAAGUUGGCAGCAGCAUUUCUAAGAAGGCAGCAACAUUGUUUAGUUUGUUAUUAAAAAUCUUCACAUUUUUAUUGUUGCUAAUGUGAAUAUGAUGUACUAACAUAUUUCGUGUGGACUUCAACUUCAAUAUGGUAUUAUCGAAUACCGUAUCGAAUCGAAUUUUGAUUUACCGA